GACGAACGCUGGCGGCGUGCCUAAUACAUGCAAGUAGAACGCUGAAGAGAGGAGCUUACUCUUCUUGGAUGAGUUGCGAACGGGUGAGUAACGCGUAGGUAACCUGCCUUGUAGCGGGGGAUAACUAUUGGAAACGAUAGCUAAUACCGCAUAACAAUGGAUGACACAUGUCAUUUAUUUGAAAGGGGCAAUUGCUCCACUACAAGAUGGACCUGCGUUGUAUUAGCUAGUAGGUGAGGUAAUGGCUCACCUAGGCGACGAUACAUAGCCGACCUGAGAGGGUGAUCGGCCACACUGGGACUGAGACACGGCCCAGACUCCUACGGGAGGCAGCAGUAGGGAAUCUUCGGCAAUGGGGGCAACCCUGACCGAGCAACGCCGCGUGAGUGAAGAAGGUUUUCGGAUCGUAAAGCUCUGUUGUAAGUCAAGAACGGGUGUGAGAGUGGAAAGUUCACACUGUGACGGUAGCUUAACAGAAAGGGACGGCUAACUACGUG
rnacentral:rRNA from 1 species